GGAUGUGAGGGCAAUCUGGCUGUGACAUCUGUCAUGCUGUUGAUCACCAGGGUUGAUCUGGCUGGCUAGGCGGGUGUCCCCUUCCUCCCUCACGGCUCCAUGUAUGUCCCUCCUGAAGCUGCACCCUCCAUCAAAGAGAAUGACCGUCCCCAGUAGAGGAGGACUGGUCUUCGGUCGGGGUAUAUGAGUAGCUGCACUCCCCUGCUAGAACUCCAAACAAGCUCUCAAGAUCCCAGAUAGCUGGUACUAUAGGCAUCAUGCUUCACUAUCAUUCCCUUCUCAAUUAAAGAUAGUGCUGUUCUUUUAGCUG
rnacentral:snRNA from 1 species